AUGGACUUAGGGCACAUAUUCGUUUUCUUUGUCCUUAUUUUAAAAGGUGGACAAUGUGAGAUGCAAUUGCUGGAGUCUGGGGGAGGCUUAGUGCAGCCUGGAAAGUCCCUGAAACUCUCCUGUGCAGCCUCUGGAUUCACCUUCAGUAGCUACUGGAUGAUUUGGGUUCGCCAUGCUCCAGGCAAGGCGCUGGAGUGGAUCACACACAUUAAUCCAGAUGGUGGUAGCACCUGGUAUAUCGAUGCUGUGAAGGGCUGGUUCACAAUCUCCAGAGACAAUGCCAAGAACACUCUGUACCUGGAAAUGAACAGUUUGAGAUCUGAGGACACAGCCAUGUAUUACUGUGCAAGAGACACAGUGAGUGAAUGUUACUGUGAGCUCAGACAAAAACACCGCUGUGGGGAACACUGGACCAGCAGGGGGCGCAGAGAGCACUUAGAGAUCUGGGUCACAGAAGAGCCUGCUUAG